rnacentral:lncRNA from 1 species
AAUUCGGCCGGAAAAUCAUCCAACUUUAAACGGCCAUAACUUUGUCACUACUCAACGAAAUCAAGCGAGACAAAAACGAAAGUUGUAGCCCUCGAAGAGAAAAAGAGAAUGGUACCUCACACGACGUCUAACUCGCCGUGGUUUGGCCAGAAAAUGCUUCGAAAGCCUCGGAGGUCGCCGGAAACUGGGUAAGAUUCAAAUGGAUAUAACUUCUUCAAUACUCAACGCAAUUGGGUGAAACAAAAAGGAAAGUUGUAGUACUCGACGAGACGAAGAGAUUGAUACCUUGCACGCCGGCCAACUCGCCGUGGUUUGGCCUGAAAUUGCCUCGAAAGUGGCGGGUUCCUCGCCGGAAAUGGGUGUUCCUACACCCGAGUUUGUUUUCAUCCUAAAACCUCCAAAAAUCACGAAAUAAAACCAAUUAGAACCCAUUCUCACAAGAUUCUAGGACGAAAGAGAGGGAUUUGAGGCUUACCUAACCGGAAAAUAUAAAAAUCUCGCCGGAGAUCCUUUCCGGUUUUCUGUGUUCGCAGACACGAGAGGGAGAGAGAGCAGGACGAGAUGAUGAUGAUGAGUGGCUUCCUCGCGUACGCCUGCGUGCGUGCGUGCUGCUGCGGUGCAGAGAAGAGGGAGAGAAGAGAUAUGAGAGAGAGCUGAGAGGGAGAGACAGAAAGACAGAAAACGAAAAAGAAGAAGGAAGGGGCUUCACGGGGGGACAGAGAGAGUGAAGGGGG